CACCGCGCCAUCCUCUCCGCCCCCUUUCUCUCGCUCUCACGCGUCCCCGCCCCUCCCCAACCCUAAUCUCUCCCUCUCACGCGGCGCCACCGCCGUCGUUGCCGCCCUCGACUACCGCAGCUCCGCCGUCGUCGCAUCCGUCGUCUCGCCGCCACCGAUCCCCGCGCCACCACCGUCGCCGCCGCCCGCGACUGCCUCCACUUCGCCGUCACCCAUCGUCGCAUCCGUCGUCGUCGUCGCCGCCGCCCUCGACUGCCGCUGCUCCGCCGUCGUCACAUCCGUCGUCGCCGCCACCCUCGACUGCCGCCGCUCCGCCUUCGUCGCAUCCGUCGUCUCGCCGCCACCGAUCCCCGCUGCCGGCUCGCCCUCAACCAAUCCCCAUCACCGUCGUCGCAUCCGUCGUCAUCCAGGAUUUACGUCACCGUUCCGUCACCGCACCCACACGAUGAUCCCCGGCGACGGAACGGGUCAUGGUGGCCUUGGAGGAUACUCGGGCCCGACGAGCUCCCGGCGUCUCAGGUAAUGUCGCCGAAGACAAGAACUCCGGUCAAGCUCCUCGGCCGUGAGGACGCAAGCGUGUGAGUGUAUCCCUUUUCCCUCAAAUUUAAUUAUGUACUCUGUUACUUAGUUCUAUAAUUCAUCUGCUCAGUUAGUGUCCCAUCACAAUCGCUUGGUCAGGAUUGAAUGUUCUGUGGAUUGGAUUGGGAGUUGUUUGCUCAAGGAGCAAUUAGGGAAUAUUUUAGUUGGUUGCGGCUGCAAAUACCAUCAGAACAACAAUGGAGAAUUUAACAAGAGCCAACAGCCUUUUGUUUCAGAUGAAUUCCCUCUGAAGUCACCCGUCAAUUGACUAAUGUUAGACAAUCUACCAUCUAGAGGAGAUCAUUCCUGAACCCAAUAUGGUGAUAAGUCGCCUCUGUUGAUGUGUUACACUCAUUUUUACUUGUUCUGAGGUGUACACCUUGCUUGCUAUAUUGGAAGAAUGAAUUUAAUUCACAUGGAUAUAAUAUUUUGCAAUUUUUGUAUAUGAAAUUAUAUGCAUGUUCUUGUGAUGUGAGAAGGUUAAAUUCCUUUGUGGGAUGCCCAUUUAAUUUCUGGUUGCUAAUUUUACUGAAGAAUGAGAGUAGGUUAUGAUGUCUUGGGUUUUGAUAAGUAGGGUGUAAAUUUUUAUAGUACAAUAAACAUGCGUGCUGGUCAUUCUGUUAUGUGGGAUUGAAACAAGUGAUGCUGGCAAUUCAGGUGCAGACUAGCUUUUGGUUCUGUAAAUUAUUUUCUCAAUUUAAAUAGAUCAUGUAUUGUGAUGAUGUGAAUACAAUAUUAUGAUGUUAUCAUGUGUUCAACAGAGCUUAAAAAAUACUCACAAACUGGAUUCUCGUAGUUAUACAGUUUAAAUAAGUUAUAAGCACGAUUUGGGUUUGAUGUCUUCCAUUUGAUUUUUAGCGCUCCUCCCUCUUGCUCCGAUCUGGCCUUAGUGAUGCCGCCCUGUUUUCGUGGUUGAUCCCGGCACCAGCCCCUUCCUCUGGCCGCGUGCGAGUUCGAGAUUCCAAGUCCCGGUGGUCGGAUUUCUCAACCCCGGCACUGGCCUCGCACAGGCUGCGAUCCGCUCGCCAACAAGGCUUGUGUAGAGAAGAAAAGGUGGAAUUGUGGAAGGUAAUCGCGGGGAGUUUUGGUUCAUUUUUUGAAGAUUUCUCUAAUUGGUACGUACUAAUUAACCAAUUGGAGUUUUGGUUCAUUUUUUGAAGAUUUCUCUAAUUGGUACGUACUAAUUAACCAAUUGGAGUUUUGGUCUCGUUACUCACUGUAAAAACAUGAUGGUAAAAAAACAGUUUAAUCCUAUUGGUACUUUUUUAUCUCAUUGAACAUUUUAUCGUUGUGUCAUUGACUGCUAUCAAAAAGGAAAAACAGUGGAUGACUCUUUCAGGAAAUAUAGGAUAGCCCCAUUGAUGGCACAUUUUGAACUGUUCAUGAUCCCUGAUUUAUUCUCUUGACCAUAUUCUGCACUGCUAUGCUUGAUACAAAUAUAUUUAUUCUCUUGACCAUAUUCUGCACUGCUAUGCUUGAUACAAAUAUAUUUAUAUGCUUGAUACUAACUAACAUUUUUACUAAACUCUUUUAUUUUGACAAUCACUCUAAGACGUAUGCAAUUGCGUCUUACGAAAGCAAGUGACCCUGAGAGCACUGAUCUUUGUAAAGAUGCACACAGCUUACUGCAGGAGAGGAUAACAAAAUAGAAGUCUAUAAAAAUCUAUAGAAGGGAUCAAAUAUGCUUGACUGAAUGAUAGAGAUGGAAAAAUGAAGAAGUGAUGACUGUUGUUUCACAAUGUAUUCAUUUCAUCUAUCCUAUAAUUGUAGUGGUGUGUCAAUGUGUGAUACUUCUAGAUUUUUCCAGCUCCAUUUUGCCAGCUCCGUGUGUGUUAUUGAUCCAGAAGUCGUGGAAUUGCUUGGAACAUGUAAUUUAUUCUCAACCAUUUUUUGUGGAAGUGUGGAUGUGCAUUGUCUAAUAUAUUGGUAUUGAAGUGAUUAAAUAUGAUUAUUGAUGGUUUUGAAUUAA